rnacentral:rRNA from 1 species
CGCUGGCGGCGUGCCUAAUACAUGCAAGUCGAACGCUUUGUGGUUCAACUGAUUUGAAGAGCUUGCUCAGAUAUGACGAUGGACAUUGCAAAGAGUGGCGAACGGGUGAGUAACACGUGGGAAACCUACCUCUUAGCAGGGGAUAACAUUUGGAAACAGAUGCUAAUACCGUAUAACAAUAGCAACCGCAUGGUUGCUACUUAAAAGAUGGUUCUGCUAUCACUAAGAGAUGGUCCCGCGGUGCAUUAGUUAGUUGGUGAGGUAAUGGCUCACCAAGACGAUGAUGCAUAGCCGAGUUGAGAGACUGAUCGGCCACAAUGGGACUGAGACACGGCCCAUACUCCUACGGGAGGCAGCAGUAGGGAAUCUUCCGCAAUGGACGCAAGUCUGACGGAGCAACGCCGCGUGAGUGAAGAAGGUUUUCGGAUCGUAAAGCUCUGUUGUUAAGGAAGAACACCAUGGAUAGGAAAUGAUCGAUGGAUGACGGUACUUAACCAGAAAGCCACGGCUAACUACGUGCCAGCAGCCG